rnacentral:rRNA from 1 species
UACAGAGGGUGCAAGUGUUGUUCGGAAUUAUUGGGCGUAAAGGGCGCGUAGGCGGUCGGAUAAGUCUUGUGUGAAAUCUUCGGGCUCAACUCGAAGUCUGCACAGGAAACUAUCUGGCUUGAGUGUGGGAGAGGUGAGUGGAAUUCCUGGUGUAGCGGUGAAAUGCGUAGAUAUCAGGAGGAACACCUGUGGCGAAAGCGGCUCACUGGACCACAACUGACGCUGAGGCGCGAAAGCUAGGGGAGCAAACAGG